ACUAGUCACCGGAGCUAGCUAGCAGCAGCACUCGCAGCAGAGAGGCCUACAAUGCCAGGGGCUUGCAAUGAUGGAACGGAGAGCGCCUUCCCCACAUGAAGGCGCACAGAGGCCAGAUUUUGUCAACAAGGCACAAGCUAGAGUCAACUCAAAAGAGAACAUCACAACUGACAAAAGGCCUCCAUCAGGAUGAGCCUGGAACACCGAAGCCUGAUGUGAAUGAUAUGUCUGUUUGGGGGUUCUAGUUCAAUCAACUAUGAUUACCCAAUUGCUAGCACAUUUCAGUCUCUCCAACCAGGAAGCCAGCCUCUGAGAAGUCUCCCUGGAAGAUGACGGUCUUGCUUCCUAGCUCAUUCAACAAACUGAAGCCAUCCCCAGCCUCCGCCACCACACCCUCCAGCCUGCCUUCCCACUUUCCACUGAGAAUGAACUGUCACGUCCCAGCCAACACCGUCCCCACUCAUCCAUCCGUGCACAGCUGGCUCCCGCAGGCCUCUCCUUUCCCUGCAUAGCCAAUUAUUCCCUCAGCUCUGCUGCACUCUGCUGCAAAUGAACCUCUCAUUUUUUUCCCAUCUCAAAAAUUAUAGCCUGCGCAGCAGCACACACCUAUGAUUCCCAGCUCGUAGAAGGCAGACUAGGAAGAGGAGUUCAAGGUCAUCCUUAGCUACAUAGCAAGUCUGAGGCCAGCCUGAGCUACGUGAGACACUAUAUAAGUACAAUUGGAACCUAACUGCUGAGCAGAGCAAAGAGGUAAGAAAAGCUGAGAGGGUUGAGCAGUUCUAACCACCCCCAUCCAGAACACAGCCUUUGAUCCUCGAAAGACAUGCUUUCCAGAGUGUACACCUACUCAGUGGACCAGGAGACUGUUUCGGGAGCUGAGAAGCAGAACAAACAGAUAAAUAUUUGCAUCAAGCACUUUACCCACUGAGCUGCCUCAGUAGCCAAGAGCUUGUCUCCUUUUCGUCGUGAGAGAUAAAACAUAUAGCAAAAUGAUGAGAACAGUAAUGUUCCCAUGGCCCAGAAACUCUCUGCUUUCGUACAUCCCCGAAGGUAGUCAGAGCUAGGACUCAAAGAAUAAAAUAAAAUAAAAUAAAAUAAAAUAAAUAAAUAAAUAAAUAAAGCAUGGUAGCAGCUUUAUUCACAAACAGCAGAAGUAUGGAAGCGGUCAGCAUUCUUCCACAGAGAGCAAAGCAGGCUAUAGCCACAGUGUGAAAUAAUAUCCAAGCUCACAAAAGAAUGAAUUGCUGGUAUGUGUUACAGCGUGGAUGGAUCUUCAAAUCUCCAUGCUGGCAAUAUUUUUAGUGUACUUGACAUUGCUGUACAUUUCAAUAAUUCACUCCUUUUUGGUGGUAAGAUUACGUUGUAUACCAUGCCCGUGUCUGCUCCUAUGUCUCUUUUUAAAUUAUUUACACUUGUUUACC
ensembl:lincRNA Gm14635 predicted gene 14635